GAUGAAGAACGCAGUGAAAUGCGAUAAGUAAUGUGAAUUGCAGAAUUCAGUGAAUCAUCGAAUCUUUGAACGCACAUUGCGCCCCCUGGAAUUCCGGGGGGCAUGCCUGUUCGAGCGUCUCAGGGACGAACCCUCGCGCGGGUGUACGCGCGGUCGUGGCUGCGGUGGCGUGCCCGAGGCGGCGGCCACCGCGCUGGAAUCCAUGGGCGGACGCCUGCCGCGUGGCCGAGCGUGAUAUGACGCAUUGGCGCUCGCACGCGGAGAGGCUGCCAGCCCUGGCCCGUCUGUCGGGCGGGGGAGAGCAAGACACGUGAACUCCUCGAAUCAGGUAGGGAUACCCGCUGAACUUAAGCAUAUCAAUAAGCGGAGGA
rnacentral:misc_RNA from 1 species